AUCCAGCUGGCGAAUUCCAAAUAGGACGAAACGCGCAUCAAACUGGAU
rfam:Schistosoma curassoni strain Dakar, Senegal genome assembly, scaffold: SCTD_scaffold0001369